rnacentral:lncRNA from 1 species
GCGACAUAUUUCCAAAGAGGUAGCUACAAACAGUUCUAGCAAUGCCUUUGAUAUAAGAAAUGCCUGGAAACUUACUUCUCUGACAAUUACAGCUACUUUGUGUGGUUUCCGCACGGAGCAUCAGCUGUAUCUUCACUAGCAAGCUGCAUCCGACUACCUCUGCGUUAAAUCUGCUUCAGAUGGAUGUCUUCCGCCCACUGUGGAGAGUAGUUUCACAGCACCAUGAGCUUUCCCGAGUGUAUUCCCAGGCCAAGCCACUAAGCGGAGCACAAUUAAGCCUCGUCCUGAAGGCGUUUGAGACGGUGACACUUUUUGACCUACUGUUGUGUCUCCUGGAUGCUACUUCUGCCCAGGACGUCUGCACCUUGUUGUUUUCCCUUUUUGCUUCUAAGGACUGCACAUUUGACCUCCAGGGAAUUCCUUCAGCUCCUCAGAGUCCCAUGGUAGAAGGAAAUCACCGUACCAUUUUGUGAAGAGCUAUGUUUGCUAGAAGAGAAAACUUCCCCUUCUUCCUCAUUUGUUGCCCUUAAUUAUUUUCAAUUCCAGUAGCUUCUUAAAUUGAACCAUAUAAAUGUGAAUGAAUAGGUUAUUCUUCCUUAUCACAGGGAAUUAAUUCUUUAGAUAUAGCUACAAUUAAAGAAUUUUAAACACAU